CCAUGAGACCAUGCUGUAUAAAAACUAUCGGUUUCUUUCUAGCCGGAGAAGAAUUUGGACUACUUGGUAUCCUGUGCAUGACCAAUUUGUAACCAUCGAUUGUGAUAACGUUGUGUUCCUCGGCUGGAUAAUUGUGCUGUUUCACCAAUCCCAUCUGUUCAAAAGAAAAAAUAGAAAGAAAUUUAAUGACCAAAGAAUUUCCGCGUCAAAAAAAGAACGACAAUUGUGCGAUCCGUCGCUAUUGAGACGAUAAUUAAUCUCUAUACCAUUGGACACGAUGCAUUAAAAUUCAAAAAUACGUAAUCGAGCGUAUAAAUAAGAAUAAUGUUAGCGGGCCAACGACAAACGCGGAAAGUCACCGAGACCGGCGAUACUGUGACGUCAACUUCAUACCCGCGUGGCUCGACCGCAGCCUCGCCGACCUUGAAAGACCACCAAGGUGGCGAUUUGUCAGUCUUCCUAAAGAUUUCGGCACGUUUAUAUUUUCUACAUCUGUAAUCUGAUUAUAUUCUCGAGUUGUCGCAAGGACUCUUGGAAACAGUGGUCAAAUUCAAAGCGAUGCUUCGAAGUGAUAGAUCUAGUUUUAGGUCUAUCACUUCCGGUGUAUGGGUACACAUCACGGCUGACAUCCUUGAUGCGAUUGAAACGAGGAAACGGAGGUGCUACCAGAGCCUUCAACAAUCCAAAGGACGUUACCUCUGAGACGUCGUGCACGAUAAGGAUACAGGCGAGUAGCACACAGUCGUUUAAUCGUGUCAUUAU